UAAGGAAUAUUGGUCAAUGGAGGGAACUCUGAACCAGCCAUGCCGCGUGCAGGAUGAAAGCCCUCUGGGUUGUAAACUGCUUUUAACAGGGAAGAAAAUGCUAUACGUGAUAUAGUACUGACGGUACCUGAGGAAUAAGCACCGGCUAACUCCGUGCCAGCAGCCGCGGUAAUACGGAGGGUGCAAGCGUUAUCCGGAAUCACUGGGUUUAAAGGGUGCGUAGGCGGUUUUAUAAGUCAGUGGUAAAAGG
rnacentral:rRNA from 1 species